UUAGUGGCGGACGGGUGAGUAACGCGUGGGUAACCUGCCUUAUACAGGGGGAUAACACUUAGAAAUAGGUGCUAAUACCGCAUAAGCGCACGGGGCUGCAUGGCCCAGUGUGAAAAACUCCGGUGGUAUAAGAUGGACCCGCGUCUGAUUAGCUUGUUGGCGGGGUAACGGCCCACCAAGGCGACGAUCAGUAGCCGGCCUGAGAGGGUGGACGGCCACAUUGGGACUGAGACACGGCCCAAACUCCUACGGAAGGCAGCAG
rnacentral:rRNA from 1 species